rnacentral:lncRNA from 13 species
CAUGGUGGUGUGAGCCUGUAGUCCUAACUACUCAGGAGGUUGAGGCAGGAGAAUCGCUUGAACCUGGGAGGUGGAGGUUGCAGUGAUCCGAGAUUACAAUUGCAUUCCAGCCUGGUGAGAGAGUAAAACUCCAGUCUCAAAAAAAAAAAAAAAAAAAAAAAAAAAAAGCUCUUUGUACAGAUACGUUUAAACAGCCACCCCUUGUCCUUCAGUAUCCUGACUCCCUGAUGUAGCAUUUAUCCUUGCCAAAUUACUUGCUAUUUUGGGGAAAAGCCUUCCACUUUCCUCCCAGCUCCUUUCAUUCACUUUUGGACACCAACUGAUGUGAGAACCAUACUGAAGGCAUCAUUAAAGUAUCUUGGAUCUCAGCUAGUUUCUAAUGGAGAUUGAGGGGCUAAUGGAAGCUCAUGGUGGUAGUGGUGGGGCCUGGGCAUGCUGGACUAAAGUCUUAUUGCAGCUUAAGGCCACUUGGUUAUUCUGGUCCAAGCAUGAGUUGGUUUCCAGGGUGAUCCAAAGAGGUCACAGAUAAUCACUGUUCCAUAUAUAAGAAUCUAUAACUCACCCACCUUUCACAAUGGAGAUGAGACUGCAGAUAACUGAACGGGUCAAAGAGCCUGGUAGCUGGUGAUUGGACCUGUGUAAAAAGAGUGUGUGCUUUCCAUCAUUUCCUUUGUAGCCUGCAGUCCAGGGAUGAGUUUUGCUCUGAGAGCCAGCCCAGCUAUGGCCGGCAGUAGAGGAGCGGAGCGCAGACUGUGGUCAUCAAGCUGCUUGAAGAAUAAGAACCCAAGCCCAGGCAACAAGUGUCACAUCUGGGAUAAUAUAAAAAGAAAUGAUGCUGAAUAGACCACAGAGAUUUGGAAGAAGGAUUAACAAUACUAGUUCUAUUCUGCAACUCUUUGGGGGCCCAUGAAUAAAGCUUAAUGUUUAAAAGAAAUUGUAAUUGUU